UUGGGCUAGGUGGCAUUUGUAUUUGGCCAUCUUGGCUGAUGUGGCAACUUGGUUUAGGAGGGAAAUCACACAAAUUCACAAUGGACACGGGAUCCAGAAAGCAUCGGGUCGGACUUUUGGAUUUGGAUCAAUCAUGAUGGAUCCUUUAUAUAUGUCUUUUUUUCUAAUUCUUCUUCCAUACUCUUCAACAAUCUUCACAACCCUAAAACCAAACCCUAGAUCAACUCAACCUUUCUGGACGUCACAGCGAUUUCUCAUCUCUCUAAUCAGAUCUUCUUCCGCUAUUGAAGAUUCAUGUUAGCAAGAAGUAUUUUGAUGAUAAGCACCGAAAAAAUUCUACCUGCACGUCUAUUAUAUAUGUAGUACUACAGAUUCGAUUCUGGCAUAAAUGUCCGAUUGAUGUUAACUUUUUUUGUAUUCUUAUUAAUUUUAUGGAAAUUGGUUGAUUAGAUCCGUGAUGACUGAACGUUAAUUUUAGUGUAAAAUGUUUGAAAAUGUUUUAGUUUUUGGAUUGCACGCAAGGUGUUUGAUGAAAUGCUUGAAUGGGA